rnacentral:rRNA from 1 species
UACAGAGGUCUCAACCGUUGUUCGGAUUCAUUGGGCGUAAAGGGUGCGUAGGCGGCGGGGUAAGUCAGGUGUGAAAUCUCGGGGCUCAACCCCGAAACUGCACUUGAUACUGCCUCGCUUGAGUACUGGAGAGGAGACUGGAAUUUACGGUGUAGCAGUGAAAUGCGUAGAUAUCGUAAGGAAGACCAGUGGCGAAGGCGGCAUCCUGGACCGACAUUGACGCUGAACGGCGAAAGCUAGGGGAGCAAACGGG